GACGAACGCUGGCGGCGUGCUUAACACAUGCAAGUCGAGCGGUAAGGCCCUUCGGGGUACACGAGCGGCGAACGGGUGAGUAACACGUGGGUGACCUGCCCUCAGCUCUGGGAUAAGCCUGGGAAACCGGGUCUAAUACCGGAUAUGACUCCAUGACGCAUGUCGUGGGGUGGAAAGCCUUGUGCGGCUGGGGAUGGGCCCGCGGCCUAUCAGCUUGUUGGUGGGGUGANGGCCUACCAAGGCGACGACGGGUAGCCGGCCUGAGAGGGCGACCGGCCACACUGGGACUGAGACACGGCCCAGACUCCUACGGGAGGCAGCAGUGGGGAAUCUUGCGCAAUGGGCGAAAGCCUGACGCAGCGACGCCGCGUGAGGGAUGACGGCC
rnacentral:rRNA from 1 species